rnacentral:rRNA from 1 species
GACGAACGCUGGCGGCGUGCUUAACACAUGCAAGUCGAGCGGUAAGGCCCCUUCGGGGGUACGACGAGCGGCGAGCGGGUGAGUAACACGUGAGCAACCUGCCCUUCACAUCGGGAGUAACCCCGGGAAACCGGGGCUAAUACCGGAUACGACCACCGACGGCAUCGUCUGGUGGUGGAAAGUUCCGGCGGUGGAGGAUGGGCUCGCGGCCUAUCAGCUUGUUGGUGGGGUAACGGCCCACCAAGGCGACGACGGGUAGCCGGCCUGAGAGGGUGACCGGCCACACUGGGACUGAGACACGGCCCAGACUCCUACGGGAGGCAGCAGUGGGGAAUAUUGGACAAUGGGCGAAAGCCUGAUCCAGCAACGCCGCGUGAGGGAUGACGGCC